rnacentral:lncRNA from 1 species
CCAUCAUUCCCGGGCUUGGUCUGUGGGUGCAGCAGCGAUGCCUCUUGGGGCUAAACUCAGAGGCUCCAGGGCAAAGUCUGAGCUGGGACCUGAAACUGGUGAGGCCCAGGGCAUGUGCGUGAAGACCCACCCAGCUAAUUCAGUCGUGUUCAUGAACGUCAUUAGCAGAGCAGAGCUUUAGUUUGUCCGGCGUUGGAUCUGAAAACACACAGCCCCACACAGGUGUCCACACAAGGCUGGUGCCGCGUGAGCAGGACAUCCACAGCCGUCCUGGUGCCCAGAGACACUGGGCUCCUCGGUGCUGGGUUCUUCUUUGACACAACAGUACAUGGUGUACGAAGGGGAUGCCGGUCUUAACCAAGAUGGUCGAUGAAGUGUUUCCUUUACAGGAAACCACCAGCCACGGACUCAGAAAGGAAUCACGGUCAGCCCUAGGGAAUGGUCACCAGGUUUCCAUCCGUAAUUCAGAAACCAUCAAGAUGUCCAGACCCUGAGACAGAGGUUUUGGGGUGUUCCCACGUGAAAGCCAGAGGAUCAUCUUAGGACAAUUCACUCUAAUCACUGGAACCCAAGAAUAACUUCAACGAAUGCUUUGAAGAUGCAAUCCUGACCUGCAAACCAGCUCUUCUCUUUCGGGCUUAAAGGUGCUCAUCUAUGAUAUUAAAGGCUACAUGUAUUUCUCCAGCAUAAAUCUGUAGUGUCACCAACCCAGAAAGGUUGGGAAGAAGAAGCAGUUAGAUAUGCACGUGAUGUUGUAGGGCUGAUGGUGGGCCAUGUCCCAUCCGGAAUCCCCAAAUGAUCCAUAAAUUAUUACACGAGAGUGAAUUAUUAUUUUUUUUCAAAGAUUGGCCCUGAGCUAACAUCUGUUGCCAAUCUUUUUUUUUUCUUCUUCUCCUCAAAGCCCCCCAGUACAUAGUUGUAUAUUCUAGUUUUAGGUCCUUCUGACUCUUCUGUGUGGCACACCGCCUCAGCGUGUCUUGAUGAGCAGUGUUAGGUCCAUGCCCAGGAUCUGAACCGGUGAAACCCCUGGGCCACUGAAGUGGAGCGUGUGAACUUAAUGAUUUGGCCACGGGGCCAGCCCCAGAGAGUGAACUGUUUUUUCUGUUUUCAGCCAGACUCUUGUCCCAGUGCUGACUCUCCGAGCACGUUGCGUGGAAGUGAU